rfam:Danio rerio chromosome 4, GRCz11 reference primary assembly.
GCAUUGGUGGUUUAGUGGUAGAAUUCUCGCCUCCCACACAGGAGACCUGGGUCCGAUUCCUGGCCAGCGCA